CCUUUGACCACUCUGGAGACAGAGCUUUCCCUUCGGGGACAAAGUGACAGGUGGUGCAUGGUUGUCGUCAGCUCGUGUCGUGAGAUGUUGGGUUAAGUCCCGCAACGAGCGCAACCCUUGAUUUUAGUUGCCAGCAUUUAGUUGGGCACUCUAAAGUGACUGCCGGUGCAAGCCGGAGGAAGGUGGGGAUGACGUCAAAUCAUCAUGCCCCUUAUGACCUGGGCUACACACGUGCUACAAUGGAUAGUACAAAGGGUCGCGAAGCCGCGAGGUGGAGCUAAUCCCAUAAAACUAUUCUCAGUUCGGAUUGUAGGCUGCAACUCGCCUACAUGAAGCCGGAAUCGCUAGUAAUCGUGGAUCAGCAUGCCACGGUGAAUACGUUCCCGGGCCUUGUACACACCGCCCGUCACACCACGAGAGUUUGUAACACCCGAAGUCGGUAGGGUAACCUUUAUGGAGCCAGCCGCCGAAGGUGGGACAGAUAAUUGGGGUGAAGUCGUAACAAGGUAGCCGUAUCGGAAGGUGCGGCUGGAUCACCUCCUUUCUAAGGAA
rnacentral:rRNA from 2 species